ensembl:lncRNA
GGGGCGGGGUGUGGACUUUGCGAGCCUUGAGGCUGUCGUGUUGAUGUUGUAACGGUGAAUACAUGACCCUGUGCGUUUGUCAAAACCCACAGGACUGAACACCAACCUAAGUGUGCAACUUGUAAAGACUUUAGCAGGCGGAGGACCCCAGGCGGGAAUGCCGCCGUGAAAGGAGGAGCCCCUGCCUCAGCGUGAGCGCAGCGCCUCAGGGAGGGCGCUGACCAUAGUCACCGGAGAAAAUGAAACGCUCAGGUGUAAAUGGAAAAAAAAGUGUACAGGAUCCACGUAAGAAAAACUGCAAAAUUUUGAUGACUGAAAUCAAAGAUCUGAAUCAGGGGACCGAUAGUCCGUGUUUGCUGAUAGGAUCUCAGUAUUGGUGAGGUGUCAUUUCUUCUGGGCCUGUGGAUUCAGCGAGGUCCCAACCAAAGCCCGGCUGUGCGUGAGGACCUCCACCCCCAAAGCACAGGACGGAAGGGAGGGGAGUGAUUUUACAGCAGAGAAGCCUGCCGAACACAGCUCAGCCAUGUGAUCAAGGCCAGCGUCAACAGCCAUAAAUUAAGUUGACACGAGGCACCCUGGAUGUGGCAGGAUGAAAGGGGGCCUUUAUAUCUGUUUUCUUCAUCCCCCAAACCCGUAAUCCCCAUCAAAUCCUGAAAAAAGCAACAGACCAGUUUCUACAUCCCACAAAAUACCUGCCCAGUCUUCCUCAAAACUGUGCAGGUCAUCCAACAGUCUGAGGGCCUGCCAGAGCCCAGAGGAGCCUGAGGAGACGGGACUGUCGUGUGGGGGCUGGGGGGGCCUGGAGCAGGAGAAGGACAUUAGCUGAAAAGUAGGGAAAUCUAAAGUACAGCCUUUAGUGAGUAAUAACACGUCAGUAUCGCUUCACUGAUUGUAGCACAGGUGCCACAUGAGUGCACGGUGUUGAUAACGGGAACUCUGGGCACACAGGCACCCUGUCUGCAUGACCAGUACUCGUGUAAACCCAACACUGCUUUAGAAAGCACAGCCUGCGCGCUUUUGCAGCUGGACAGGCCAGAGUUAGUGCUCGCUCUCCUCCUCCCUGACAGUGUCCCUGGGGGAUCUGGGGCCCCUCCUCACCGGCCCAGGCUCCGAUAGACGCUUGGGCGAGGGGAGCCCGUCCUGAGGGAGCUCUCUGCAGACAAGGAAUGACACUAAGAUGGGGUCUCUGAGGGUCUCAACAGGCAGAGAACGUGCUACACGUGGGACUAAGACCACGGGCAGCCUGCCGUUCGUAUAAGCAGGAGAGCCCAGACAUGAAAAACGCGCGAGCCGCAGUCUGCUCGGUGGCCAAACCAAAUCCCAGACUGAGGGGUAAACAACAGACAUCUGUCUACUCAGAGCCCAGGGGGCUGGAAGUCAGAGGUCGUGGAGCCAGCAUGCCCGGGCCCUGCUGCAGGCGUGUGGCCUCUGCAGCAUGCACGGGCUCUCUCUGAUGUGCUCUCGGAGAACCAGCUCUGGCGUCUCCUGUAGCAGACACUGACCCCACCAGACCAGCCCCACCCUCAUCCAACCCCAGAGACCUCCCAAGGCCUGUCUCCAAAUGCCGAUGCACUGGGGUCAGGGUUCCGCGUGUGAAUUUGGGGAGGAGGACCCCAGCGUUCUGUCCAUGACAAGAAGCCUGGCUUGAAUCACGAUGACAGAAAGCUGCAGAGCCCCAGCCAGCUUCCUGGUCUGAGCUGGUCUGUAGAUCCAACGCCCCUGUGAUGAGGGCGAGGCUGUGUCCUUGAGGAAGGGUCUUGUCACCAGAAACAUCCUGUCACCCUUCCUCCUGGCCUUCCCUGGAGGCACCGAAGGGACACUGACCAGCGUCUGAGGAAGAGGAAGCAGAAACCGCAUGCUUUCCAGGGUCCCCAACCCACCAGCGGGACCACCAGUCAGAGCAGGGGCUUGCGGUGAUCAGGUGAUCGGCGGUGUUUGGGCCACGCCCAUCUGACAGUGGGGCCAUUGCACCCUGAACCCAGCGGUGGUUGCCCCUGUCACAGAUGGAUCGCUGCAGCAGACACACAGCUGGCAGCGCACCGGCCCCCAGCCCAUGGAGUCGGCGCCGCUGCUGUGGGAAGGCUUCCUCCUCCUCCUCCUCCUCCUCCUCCUCCUCCCAGGGCAGUGGACCACAGCAGGAACGCCUCCCAAAGGCACUGCGGGGGUUGGCAUCACAAGGACUCAGGGCCCAGGAGGGGACUCCCACCACGUCCCCAUUCAGUUCUCCUUGGGGGGCCAGUGCAGGAGACAGAGGGCCUGGGGACCGCCAGCCAACAAUCACAGACUUAACCGGUGGUGACUCCCGCUGCAGCCGUGUUCCUGACGGGCCUUUGUGGCUGAAGCAGAUCCCAGCAGGCCUUCCCUUGUGGCUCAGAUGGUAAAGAAUCUGCCUGCAAUGACGGAGACCCAGGUCCAGUCCCUGUGUCGGGAAGAUCCCCUGGAGAAGGGGAUGGCAGUCCACUGCAGUAGUCUUGCCUAGAGAACUCCACGGACAGAGAAGCCUUGAAGGCUGCAGUCCGUGGGGUCGCAAAGAGUCAGACACGACUGAGCGACUAACACUCUCUUUUUCACUUCUAACUUAUGUUAACAAUAGUUGACCUUACAUCUUGGUGUUUGUGUUAUUAACACUCAACACGCUCUGAGAGUGCAACAUUCUUACAGAGGAUGUGUUUUCCAGUUGGGCUCCCCAGGUGUCGCUAAAGAACCCACGUGCCAAUGCAGGAGACCCAGGAGGCAUGGGUUCAAUCCCUGGGCGGGGAAGAUCCCUUGCAGGAGUGUAUGGGUAUUCAGUUUGAGUCAGCAUCACCCAAAGAUGGAUCCAGUGACGUGAAGCAUCCCUCCACCUCUUUUUGGCCAGACACGUGCAUCAUAUUAAGCAGAAGCAUGAUUUUGCCUGUUUUUAUUUGGAAGUUAAGCAUGGUUUAAAGUAGAAGUGUGUAUGCAUGCAGAGUUGCUAAGGAGCCUCUGCUGGGUGUUCUGUUGUUCAGCUGGGAAUCCAUUUCCCAGGAUCCCCUUUCCCAUAUGGUUCAGGUCAGAGUUGAGCAAGAGAGGAGUUUGUGUGAAGCCGGAAAGGCAGGAGCGGGCAGUGGCUGCCACUCUCUGAAGGGUUGUCGUAGCCAUGCGUGGUCUCCAACAGAGCAGCCGUGGCCAGCAGAUGCUGGCUGCCCUCUCGCCCACCCCUGCCCCCUGCCUUUCACCCACCUGCUGC